CAGCCGCCGCGGGAAUACAGAGGGUGCAAGCGUUAAUCGGAUUUACUGGGCGUAAAGGGCGCGUAGGUGGUUAUGUAAGACAGAUGUGAAAUCCCCGGGCUCAACCUGGGAACUGCAUUUGUGACUGCAUGGCUAGAGUACGGUAGAGGGGGAUGGAAUUCCGCGUGUAGCAGUGAAAUUCGUAGAUAUUCGCAAGAACACCAGUGGCGAAGGCGGCUCACUGGCCCGGUACUGACGCUGAGGCGCGAAAGCAUGGGGAGCAAACAGGAUUAGAUACCCGUGUAGUCCCUGUCUCUUAUAC
rnacentral:rRNA from 1 species